CCAGGUCUCUUCCACACAGACACACACACACACACACUCUCACACACACACUCACUCACACAGGGAUGAGCUUCCUUUUCUCCUGAGCGGCCUGAGGAAGAGGAGGAAGAUGAGCAGCCUGGGAUUAACGCAGAGCUCGCCAUGAUUUCCAUUCUGGACUGCAGCUUUUCUCUCAUCCAGGACCAUGAGCGCUGAGGAGCAGGCGUCUGUACCGGGGACAGGACUGAUGGGCAGGCUGUCCCACGUCAUGCACUUUGGGAGGGCUGGGCGAGUCGGCCCUGCAGAGCUGCAACAGGACGGCAGAGCUGAGAGCAGCGACACCGCCAGCUGCAG